GCGCAUGGAGGGAGUAGGUAAACUCGGGCCCCUCAAGAGGGUCUCAUCUAACGAUGGAGCGGGAUCGAUACCCGUCGUGCGCA
rnacentral:tRNA from 2 species